rnacentral:rRNA from 1 species
AGCAGUCGCCGCGGUAAUACAGAGGGUGCGAGCGUUAAUCGGAUUUACUGGGCGUAAAGCGUGCGUAGGCGGCUUUUUAAGUCGGAUGUGAAAUCCCUGAGCUUAACUUAGGAAUUGCAUUCGAUACUGGGAAGCUAGAGUAUGGGAGAGGAUGGUAGAAUUCCAGGUGUAGCGGUGAAAUGCGUAGAGAUCUGGAGGAAUACCGAUGGCGAAGGCAGCCAUCUGGCCUAAUACUGACGCUGAGGUACGAAAGCAUGGGGAGCAAACAGGAUUAGAUACCCCUGUAGUCCCUGUCUCUUAUAA